GCAAAACCAAGACAAGAGGUGUCCGGUG
rnacentral:piRNA from 1 species